GGGUUAGCUCAAUAGGUAGAACUUAAGACUCUUAAUCCUAGGGGCAUGAGUUCAAGCCCCACAUUGGGCA